rnacentral:rRNA from 1 species
AGAUGGCGACCGGCGCACGGGUGAGUAACACGUAUCCAACCUGCCGAUAAUCGGGAUAGCCUUUCGAAAGAAAGAUUAAUACCCGAUGGUAUAAUCAGACCGCAUGGUCUUGUUAUUAAAGAAUUUCGGUUAUCGAUGGGGAUGCGUUCCAUUAGGCAGUUGGUGAGGUAACGGCUCACCAAACCUUCGAUGGAUAGGGGUUCUGAGAGGAAGGUCCCCCACAUUGGAACUGAGACACGGUCCAA